AUUGAACGCUGGCGGCAUGCCUUACACAUGCAAGUCGAACGGCAGCACGGGAGCAAUCCUGGUGGCGAGUGGCGAACGGGUGAGUAAAGUAUCGGAACGUGCCCAGUCGUGGGGGAUAACGUAGCGAAAGUUACGCUAAUCCCGCAUACGAGCUAUGGAUGAAAGCGGGGGAUCGCAAGACCUCGCGCGAUUGGAGCGGCCGAUAUCAGAUUAGGUAGUUGGUGGGGUAAAGGCUCACCAAGCCGACGAUCUGUAGCUGGUCUGAGAGGACGACCAGCCACACUGGGACUGAGACACGGCCCAGACUCCUACGGGAGGCAGCAGUGGGGAAUUUUGGACAAUGGGCGAAAGCCUGAUCCAGCCAUGCCGCGUGCAGGAUGAAGGCCUUCGGGUUGUAAACUGCUUUUGUACGGAACGAAAAGGUUUGGCCUAAUAAGCUGAGCUCAUGACGGUACCGUAAGAAUAAGCACCGGCUAACUACGUGCCAGCAGCCGCCGUAA
rnacentral:rRNA from 1 species